CCUACGGGAGGCAGCAGUGGGGAAUAUUGGGCAAUGGGCGCAAGCCUGACCCAGCAACGCCGCGUGAAUGAAGAAGGCUCUCGGGUUGUAAACUUCUUUUGUCAGGGACGAAGCAAGUGACAGUACCUGAUGAAUUAGCCACGGCUAACUACGGGCCAGCAGCCGCGGUAAUACGUAGGUGGCGAGCGUUAACCGGAUUUACUGGGUGUAAAGGGCGGGUAGGCGGUAAAUGAAGUCAGAUGUGAAAACCAUGGGCUUAACCUGUGGCCUGCAUUUGACACUGUUUCUCUUGAGUACUUGAGAGGUAGACGGAAUUCCUCGUGUAGCGGUGAAAUGCGUAGAUAUUAGGAGGAACACCGGAGGCGAAGGCGGUCUGCUGGACAGCAACUGACGCUGAGGCGCGAAAGCGUGGGGAGCAAACAGGAUUAGAUACCCCUGUAGUC
rnacentral:rRNA from 1 species